rnacentral:misc_RNA from 1 species
UUUUAUGUAUGUUACAUCAGAACUUUUGCCCGUGUGGACCGAUUUCGACAAAUUUUGUUUUAAUCGAAAGCUGGUGUGUGUCAAUUGGUCCCAUUUAAAUUUAUUUGAGAUCUAACAACUACUUUUCGAGUUAUAUCUAUUAAUGCGUUUUUACUUGACGCUUUUUUCGUCGACCUACGUUGUAUUAUACCGCAUAACUUUCUACUGGAUGUACCGAUUUGAAUAAUUCUUUUUUUGUUGGAAAGGGGAUAUCUCUAGUUUAGUACCAUGAUAAAGAAACCAGGAUCUGAUGAUGAGAUCCCAGAGAAAUCGAG